GAACUAGAAAAUAAGUUCGGUAAGUUUGCAAAAAUAGUGCUGUAGAAUCGAAUAGUAUUAGAUUCAUUAAUAACCUCAUAAGGAGGAGCGUGCACUGUAAUUAAUGCUUGUUGCUGUAUAUACGUAGAUCAAAUGGGACGAAUUUGACUGAUAUUUGGGGGGAAAAAAAAAGUAUAUUGAGGGGGGUGGGGGGGAAAGAUCCUACAUAGAGUAGCUCAAGGUGACAGUUCCUGGGCAUUUAGAAACAUUUGGGAGAAACUAACUUCGUGGUUACCUGAACAGAAUUGGCUCAAACAACUGUUUGUUGGCAUUGUAAAAAUAAUGGCAUUGUACACCUACCGUCCCCCGUGACAUCUGAAGAAGACUAUUGCGCCUUAAUGUUGGAAAAACUCAAGAGUGCGGUAUGUGAAGAGGUGCAAAAACAACAGUAGGAGUAAGGAAAGAAGAGGGGGGAAUUGCGAGAAACUAAGUUGUGUUUUUGCAGCGGAGAACUAAUUUUCUGUAUUCCGAGGUAGUUGUGUAGCCAUAAUAAGGAGAAAUGCUACGUGGGUAAGUGGACAGUGGAAGGCCUCACUGUUCCAAAAUAAGGCAGAAGCUUGAGGAAAAACGGGUCGAGCAGUGUGGGAACAGCAAAACAAAGAUCACAGGUUCUUGAAACAUAAGAAAGGCGGAAAAAAAGAAAAUAAGAAGGGAGAAAUUAAAGGGUUGAAAAAGAAGUAAAAUUGUACAUAUAUGGUGUAGAGGAGCGUCGAGUAGCUUGUGAACCUGUAGUGCUCGGCCAAGGAGGAAACAGGGGAGGUGACCAGGUGUCGGGGAAUAGGGAAUAAACGUUGAUGCUUUGCUUACUGUAACGCGCUCCUAAUUGGCAGGACGCCCGCCACUGCAACCGCGAAUAAAACAGCCUCACAGAAGAUCGUGUGUGAAGAAAAUGAUUUGAGAUGUUUCUCGCAGAUACACCUGGGAAGCGGCGCAGUGAUUGGCUGGAGCCUGAGGGCGGAAGUGGCGUCCGGACAUGCCUUCCCUGAGGGCGGAAGCGCUCCGUGAUUGGCUCGGAGGAACCCAGGGCGGAAGUGCCGUGCAGGGCUUGCCGGCACUAUGGGCGGAGGCUGCGGGGCCGGACCGGGCUCGGGCCGGCGAGGCGCGGUGCAGCAACGAGCAAACUGUGUAUGAUCCCAGGAGCAAAGGCACAGUCUUGUGUAGCAUUGUCAUUCUGCCCCACCGCUCUGAUAUCUAACAAAGUAAUACAUUCUGGAUGUUGUCUACAAAUUCUUUCCUUCUUUAUGUAAGAGGUCGAUGCCCGUCGCCUAGUUUGUCACAGAGCGUCACUGAAGUGCUGUUUUAUUUGUAUUUGUGAAGACAGCAGAAUCAAAGACAGCAGGUCAGUGACUCCCACCGAGAUGGUCAUUAAGAUAAAACAGUGAAGUUUCUAGCAUAUAUUAAAAAGCCUGGAGGAAUUAGCAUAGCUUGCAGCAAAGUGUGCUGGAAAGAGAUGAUAUUUGAGAGCAAGCAUGAAAAUGUCGUCUUUUUACCGAGAAUGAUGAGAACUGAUGCAUCUGCCCUGCGUUUGGAUAGAAGAUGCCCUGGAUUUAAAGACGGUGUGUAGUAAAUGAAGUAUGAGAAGAAACAGCUUCUUCGGACACUUGCGCUCCUCUUCUUCAGCUCGUGGAGAAGGCUGACAGCCUGUCUCACUCUCGUCAGUGCUA